CCUACGGGCGUCAGCAGUGGGGAAUAUUGGACAAUGGGCGAAAGCCUGAUCCAGCCAUGCCGCGUGUGUGAAGAAGGCCUUCGGGUUGUAAAGCACUUUCAGUGGGGAAGAAAGCCUUGGGGCUAAUACCCUCGAGGAAGGACAUCACCCACAGAAGAAGCACCGGCUAACUCCGUGCCAGCAGCCGCGGUAAUACGGAGGGUGCGAGCGUUAAUCGGAAUUACUGGGCGUAAAGCGCGCGUAGGCGGUCUGAUAAGCCGGUUGUGAAAGCCCCGGGCUCAACCUGGGAACGGCAUCCGGAACUGUCAGGCUAGAGUGCAGGAGAGGAAGGUAGAAUUCCCGGUGUAGCGGUGAAAUGCGUAGAGAUCGGGAGGAAUACCAGUGGCGAAGGCGGCCUUCUGGACUGACACUGACGCUGAGGUGCGAAAGCGUGGGUAGCAAACAGGAUUAGAUACCCCGGUAGUC
rnacentral:rRNA from 1 species